UAGGGAAUCUUCGGCAAUGGACGAAAGUCUGACCGAGCAACGCCGCGUGAGUGAAGAAGGUUUUCGGAUCGUAAAACUCUGUUGUUAGAGAAGAACAAGGACGUUAGUAACUGAACGUCCCCUGACGGUAUCUAACCAGAAAGCCACGGCUAACUACGUGCCAGCAGCCGCGGUAAUACGUAGGUGGCAAGCGUUGUCCGGAUUUAUUGGGCGUAAAGCGAGCGCAGGCGGUUUCUUAAGUCUGUUGUGAAAGCCCCCGGCUCAACCGGGGAGGGGCAUUGGAAGCUGGGAGACUUGAGUGCAGAAGAGGGGAGUGAGAUUCCAUGUGUAGCGGUGAAGAGCGUAGAGAUGUGGGGGAACACCAGUGGAGAAGGCGGCUCUCUGGUCUGUAACUGACGCUGAGGCUAGAAAGCGUGGGGAGCAAACAGG
rnacentral:rRNA from 1 species